UACGAAGGGGGCUAGCGUUGCUCGGAAUCACUGGGCGUAAAGGCGCGUAGGCGGCCGUUCAAGUCGGGGGUGAAAGCCUGUGGCUCAACCCACAGAAUGGCCCUCGAUACUGGAUGGCUCGAGACCGGAAGAGGUUGGUGGAACUGCGAGUGUAGAGGUGAAAUUCGUAGAUAUUCGCAAGAACACCAGUGGCGAAGGCGGCCAACUGGUCCGGUUCUGACGCUGAGGCGCGAAAGCGUGGGGAGCAAACAGG
rnacentral:rRNA from 1 species